UACGAAGGGGGCUAGCGUUGUUCGGAAUUACUGGGCGUAAAGCGCACGCAGGCGGAUUGAUAAGUCAGGGGUGAAAUCCCGGGGCUCAACCUCGGAAUUGCCUUUGAUACUGUCUGUCUUCGAGUUCGGGAGAGGUUGGCGGAAUUCCUAGUGGUAGAGGUGAAAUUCGUAGAUAUUAGGAAGAACACCAGUGGCGAAGGCGGCCAACUGGCCCGAUACUGGACGCUCAUGUGCGAAAGCGUGGGGAGCAAACAGG
rnacentral:rRNA from 1 species